UACGUAGGUGGCAAGCGUUGUCCGGAAUUAUUGGGCGUAAAGCGCGCGUAGGCGGUCUUUUGAGUCUGAUGUGAAAGCCCACGGCUCAACCGUGGAGGGUCAUUGGAAACUGGGGGACUUGAGUGCAGAAGAGGAAAGCGGAAUUCCACGUGUAGCGGUGAAAUGCGUAGAGAUGUGGAGGAACACCAGUGGCGAAGGCGGCUUUCUGGUCUGUAACUGACGCUGAGGCGCGAAAGCGUGGGGAGCAAACAGG
rnacentral:rRNA from 1 species